AGACUCCUACGGGAGGCAGCAGUGGGGAAUAUUGCACAAUGGGGGAAACCCUGAUGCAGCGAACGCCGCGUGGAGGAAGAAAGGUCUUCGGAUUGUAAACUCCUGUUGUUGAGGAAGAUAAUGACGGUACUCAACAAGGAAGUGACGGCUAACUACGUGC
rnacentral:rRNA from 1 species